GAUGAACGCUAGCGGCAGGCUUAACACAUGCAAGUCGAGGGGUAGAAGGAGCUUGCUCCUUUGAGACCGGCGCACGGGUGCGUAACGCGUAUGCAACCUACCUUUUACAGAGGGAUAGCCCAGAGAAAUUUGGAUUAAUACCCCAUAGUAUUUUCGGUUGGCAUCAACUGAUUAUUAAAGUUUUUCGGUACAAGAUGAGCAUGCGUCCCAUUAGCUAGUUGGUAUGGUAACGGCAUACCAAGGCUACGAUGGGUAGGGGUCCUGAGAGGGAGAUCCCCCACACUGGUACUGAGACACGGACCAGACUCCUACGGGAGGCAGCAGUGAGGAAUAUUGGUCAAUGGUCGCAAGACUGAACCAGCCAUGCCGCGUGCAGGAUGAAGCAUCUAUGGUGUGUAAACUGCUUUUGUACGGGAAGAAACACUCCUACGUGUAGGAGCUUGACGGUACCGUAAGAAUAAGGAUCGGCUAACUCCGUGCCAGCCGCCGCCGUAAAAC
rnacentral:rRNA from 1 species